CUCUCUCCUCUCCUCCGAAACUUUCUCUCCUCUCUUCUCUCUUCGAUUUCAUUCACCUAGGGUGAGAUUCCGGACAAAACCCGAGUAUUAAAGUUGCUAUUCGGAGUACGGGCUUUCCGAAUAUCCAAGAAAAAUCAUGAUCGGACCUCGUGGAGCUACGGUUGACUGGGUCAAAGGGUCGGGUUUUACUCAAAACCCUUGAGGUUCAUUGCAGGUCAUGGUCAUGGUCAUGGAGUACUUGGAGUGCAUGCUGACAUUAUCGAUUAAAGCUAUUUUGGAGAGUACUUUAUUCUUGUAUAACAAACGACUUUGUUAUGAAAUUCCUACUUUGAAAGAUUGUAUUCGUAGACCAAUUUAUUGAAUCGGAAAUUGUAUUGUAUUU